UACGUAGGGUGCGAGCGUUGUCCGGAAUUAUUGGGCGUAAAGGGCGCGUAGGCGGUUUGUACAGUCAGACGUGAAAUUCCUGGGCUCAACCUGGGGGCUGCGUUUGAUACGUGCAGACUUGAGUUCGGAAGAGGGUCGUGGAAUUCCCAGUGUAGAGGUGAAAUUCGUAGAUAUUGGGAAGAACACCGGUGGCGAAGGCGGCGACCUGGUCCGAUACUGACGCUGAGGCGCGAAAGCGUGGGGAGCAAACAGG
rnacentral:rRNA from 1 species